AAAGUACUCCCUCCGUCCGGAAAUAAUUGUCCAAGGAAUGAAUGUAUCUAGAUGUAUUUUAGUUUUAGAUACACUCAUUUUUAUCCAUUUCCAUGACAAGUAUUUCCGGACCUAGGGAGUACUUG
rfam:Triticum aestivum genome assembly, contig: Triticum_aestivum_CS42_TGACv1_scaffold_288972_4AL